UACGUAGGGGGCAAGCGUUGUCCGGAUUUAUUGGGCGUAAAGAGCGUGUAAGCGGCCAUGCAGGUCCGUUGUGAAAACUCGAGCUCAACCUCGAGACGCCGAUGGAAACCGCAUGGCUAGAGUCCGGAAGAGGAGAGUGGAAUUCCUGGUGUAGCGGUGAAAUGCGCAGAUAUCAGGAAGAACACCCGUGGCUAAGGCGGCUCUCUAGUACGGUACUGACG
rnacentral:rRNA from 1 species